AGUGAACGCUGGCGGUAGGCCUAACACAUGCAAGUCGAACGGCAGCACAGUAAGAGCGUGCUCUUACGGGUUGCGAAUGGCGUACGAGUGAGGAAUACAUCGUAAUCUACUUUUUCGGGUGGGAUAACGUAGGUGAACUUACGCUAAUACCGCAUACGACCUACGGUGGAAAGCAUGGGAUCUUCGGACCUGUCGCGGAUGAAUUAGCCGAUGUCGGAUUAGCUAGUUGGCUGGGUAAAGGCCCACCAAGUCGACGAUCCGUAGCUGGUCUGGGAGGCGGAUAACCGACCUUGGAAGUGAGCCACGGUCAAGAGUCCUACGGGAGGCAGCAGUGGGGAACAUUGGACAAUGGGCGCAAGCAUGACCCAGCCAUCCCGAGUGGGUGACGAAGGCCUUCGGGUUGUAAAGCCCUUUUGUUGGGAAAGAACAGCAGCAGGUUAAUACCCAGCUGUUCUGACGGUACCCAAAGAAUAAGCACCGGCUAACUUCGUG
rnacentral:rRNA from 1 species